rnacentral:rRNA from 1 species
UACGGAGGGGGCUAGCGUUGUUCGGAAUUACUGGGCGUAAAGCGCGCGUAGGCGGCUUUGUAAGUCAGAGGUGAAAGCCUGGAGCUCAACUCCAGAACUGCCUUCGAAACUACAUCGCUAGAAUCAUGGAGAGGUUAGUGGAAAUCCGAGUGUAGAGGUGAAAUUCGUAGAUAUUCGGAAGAACACCAGUGGCGAAGGCGACUAACUGGACAUGUAUUGACGCUGAGGUGCGAAAGCGUGGGGAGCAAACAGG